UUUUGCAUUGGCUUUGCGCGCCAUAAUGCCGUUCCCCACCGCAUGCAACAGGUGAGUUUUACCCAGGCCUGUGCCGCCAUA
rfam:Chania multitudinisentens RB-25, complete genome.